UACGUAGGGGGCAAGCGUUGUCCGGAUUUAUUGGGCGUAAAGAGCGUGUAGGCGGUUUGGUAGGUCCGCUGUGAAAACUCGAGGCUCAACCUCGAGACGCCGGUGGAAACCAUCAGGCUAGAGUCCGGAAGAGGAGAGUGGAAUUCCUGGUGUAGCGGUGAAAUGCGCAGAUAUCAGGAAGAACACCCGUGGCGAAGGCGGGUCUCUGGGCAGUAACUGACGCUGAGGAGCGAAAGCGUGGGGAGCGAACAGG
rnacentral:rRNA from 1 species